GUGGUCAGUAAAAGGGAAAUUGAAGCCAAAAAUUCUGCACUUUAGGUGUGAGUGUGUGCGUAGAACAUCAGGAGAAACACAAAGGGAGCCAAAACCCUUGUUCAUCAAGAAUCACUAAAUUGGUGAUGAAUUUAUGAUCCAAUCUUAUGCAUGAAUGAAGCAUUAUCAUCAUCUCAACCUUACAAACAUGUGGAUCAUGUCAAGGUGGGUGGAAGCGUGGAAGGCUAACGGGAAGGAUGCGAGGAAGCAAGUACAAAACGGACGCUUAAGGUGAGUCAGAUAUUCAUGAUGGACAAGUGAACGAGGGUCGAGUUGAAGAUCAUGGAUUGUAUGGGAAAACGGUCAUGUUUUUUGUAAUUAUUUGUUAACAUAGUUACAUAAAAUAAAUGAUGAAUGACGUAUUUAUGUUAAAAGGGUUGUCCUAAACGGUAUUCAGUAUGUUAGAGUAGUUAAAAGAAAGAAAUAUUACGGUUCAUUUUCCGCUGCG